GACGAACGCUGGCGGCGUGCCUAAUACAUGCAAGUAGAACGCACAGUUUAUACCGUAGCUUGCUCCACCAUAGACUGUGAGUUGCGAACGGGUGAGUAACGCGUAGGUAACCUGCCUGGUAGCGGGGGAUAACUAUUGGAAACGAUAGCUAAUACCGCAUAAUAUUGAUUAUUGCAUGAUAAUUAAUUGAAAGGUGCAAUUGCACCACUACCAGAUGGACCUGCGUUGUAUUAGCUAGUAGGUGAGGUAACGGCUCACCUAGGCGACGAUACAUAGCCGACCGGAGAGGGUGAUCGGCCACACUGGGACUGAGACACGGCCCAGACUCCUACGGGAGGCAGCAGUAGGGAAUCUUCGGCAAUGGACGAAAGUCUGACCGAGCAACGCCGCGUGAGUGAAGAAGGUUUUCGGAUCGUAAAGCUCUGUUGUAAGAGAAGAACGGGUGUGAGAGUGGAAAGUUCACACUGUGACGGUAUCUUACCAGAAAGGGACGGCUAACUACGUG
rnacentral:rRNA from 1 species